rnacentral:rRNA from 1 species
UACAGAGGGGGCAAGCGUUGUUCGGAAUUACUGGGCGUAAAGCGCGUGUAGGCGGUUGUCCAAGUUGGAUGUGAAAGCCUUGAGCUCAACUCAAGAAAUGCAUUCAGGACUGGAUGACUAGAGGACCGGAGAGGAUAGUGGAAUUCCUGGUGUAGCGGUGGAAUGCGCAGAUAUCAGGAGGAACACCAAUAGCGAAGGCAGCUCGCUGGGACGGUACUGACGCUAAGGCGCGAAAGCGUGGGGAGCGAACAGG